rnacentral:tRNA from 1 species
GUUGUGGCUCAGUGGUAGAGGGCUUGCCUAGCAUGCAUGAAGCACUGAGUUCGAUUCUUAGCACCACA